CAGCAGCCGCGGGAAUACGGAGGGUGCAAGCGUUAAUCGGAAUUACUGGGCGUAAAGCGCACGCAGGCGGUCUGACAAGUCAGAUGUGAAAUCCCCGGGCUUAACCUGGGAACUGCAUUUGAAACUGUCAGGCUGGAGUCUUGUAGAGGGGGGUAGAAUUCCAGGUGUAGCGGCGAAAUGCGUAGAGAUCUGGAGGAAUACCGGUGGCGAAGGCGGCCCCCUGGACAAAGACUGACGCUCAGGUGCGAAAGCGUGGGGAGCAAACAGGAUUAGAUACCCGAGUAGUCCCUGUCUCUUAUAC
rnacentral:rRNA from 1 species